rnacentral:rRNA from 1 species
GGGGGGGGGGGGGGGGGGGGGGGGGGGGGGGGGGGCGGGCGGGGGGGCGGGGGGGGGGCUCGUCUGAGGUGAGCGGCGGGCGGGGGAGGGCGACGUGGGUGGCCUGCCUAGAAGCCUGGUAGAACUUCGGGCAACCGGAGCUACGACCGGAUGAUAUAUGGCACCGCAUGGUUUCAUAGUGAAAGACGGUUUUGCUUUCACGUAUAGGUGGAUCCGUGCCGCCGUCGCUAGUUUGUAGGUUACCUGCCUACCAAGUCAACGCUGCGUAGCCGCCCUGAGAGGGUGAACGGCCACAGUGGAACUGAGACACGGUCCAGAAACCUACGGGAGGCAGAAGUAGGGAAUAUUCCGCAAUGGGCGAAAGCCUGACGGAGCAACGCCGCGUGAGUGAUGAAGGUCUUCGGAUCGUAAAACUCUGUUAUUAGGGAAGAACAAAUGUGUAAGUAACUAUGCACGUCUUGACGGUACCUAAUCAGAAAGCCACGGCUAACUACGUG